GAUGAAGAACGCAGCGAAAUGCGAUAAGUAAUGUGAAUUGCAGAAUUCAGUGAAUCAUCGAAUCUUUGAACGCACAUUGCGCCCGCUAGUAUUCUGGCGGGCAUGCCUGUCCGAGCGUCAUUUCAACCCUCAAGCCCCCGGGCUUGGUGUUGGGGAUCGGCGAGCCUCCGCGCCCGCCGUCCCCUAAAUCUAGUGGCGGUCUCGCUGUAGCUUCCUCUGCGUAGUAGUACACCUCGCACUGGGAAACAGCGCGGCCACGCCGUUAAACCCCCAACUUCUGAACGUUUGACCUCGGAUCAGGUAGGAAUACCCGCUGAACUUAAGCAUAUCAAUAAGCGGAGGA
rnacentral:misc_RNA from 1 species